AGCUGCUCUCUCCCCACUCCUGGUCUGACUCAAUGAUCAGUUCAGGCAAAGUACACAAGAAAGGAUUGCUAGCUUGUUUUUGAGAGCUUUGACUAGAACAAAACAAAGGAACUCUUUAUGCAGCUCAGAAUGAUUUUAUACUAUCCUGAAUUUUGAUCCAGGUGAACAAGACAACUGGACACUUGUCUUGUUCAGUUUCAAAAGGGGCAGAAGUGACAGUGGUGGAUUUUUGAUAGUUAAUCACAGUUAAAAUGGCAGUGGAAGAUGGUGCGUGCGAAGACUUGGAUCCUGAAGAAACACUUUGAGGGAUAAGCAUAGCGAUUUUGAACUAAAAGAGACUGAAUUACCAGCACUGAAAGAUGGAGAGGUGCUGCUUGAAGCUGUAUUCCUCAGUGUUGAUCCCUACAUGAGGUGGGAGGAGCAUUUUCCACCGUUGUUCUGGACCAGAUCAGAAAAUUUGGGAGAAUAGCUGUGUGUGGCAUGAUCUCAUUGUACAAUGACAAGGAACCCCAGCAAGGACCUUACAUCCAGUGGCAGAUGCUCAUGAAAGAACUGUGCAUGGAAGGGUUUCUGGUCUACCGCUGGGAAAACAGGAAGGAGGAAGGUCUGAAUGCUUUGUUGAAACUGGUGGUAGAGGGAAAACUAAAGUGUCCUGAACACAUCACUGAAGGAUUUGACAACAUGCCAGCAGCAUUCAUGGGAAUGCUGAAAGGAGAAAACACUGGGAAGGCAAUAGUAAAAGCUUAACUGUCUCAUACUCCUUCCUCCAAAAAAGUCAGCAUGAUACAUGCCUGACCGCACCUUCUUUAAUUGCAGACAGCCUUCUUGCCAGAAAUACAUUCAUGAAUACACAAGUCACCUGUUAGUUAAAAAAAUCAGAGUAUAAUUUGAUGGUGGUAAAAACCUGAUGAAAACAGGUUUUUACGGGUAGCUGAGAUAUAAGACUAAACAAUAAGCUAGAGAGAUAUAAAAAGGAAGUAACCUACAUAAGAUGUUACAAAUGCCAUUCAUUUGUUAAUUAUAAUGAUUGAGAAAAUAUCAUG